UGAAGAGGCUGUAGAAAUUGUAUCUGAAACUCCAGAUAGGGCAAAAGCAGCCAAGCAUCUUGUUCAAUGUGCUGUUCGUGCUUGGAAACGUAAGAGGAGAGGGAUAGCUGUAGAUGAUAUUUCAGCCAUUGUACUCUUCUUUCUUUCUAAGCAUUUCUGUCAGCAUAUUUACCCUGUAACUACUCCAAAAUAAGAAAACGCAAGUUUCUG
rnacentral:misc_RNA from 1 species